CAGCGCCGCGGUAAUACCGGCGGCCCGAGUGGCGGUCACUAUUAUUGGGCUUAAAGCGUCCGUAGCCGGGUUGGGAAGUCCUCCGGGAAAUCUGGCCGCUUAACGGUCAGAAUGCCGGAGGAUACUCCCAGCCUAGGGAGCGGGAGAGGCCGAGGGUAUUCCCGGAGUAGGGGUGAAAUCCUAUAAUUCCGGGAGGACCACCUGUGGCGAAGGCGCUCGGCUGGAACGCGUCCGACGGUGAGGGACGAAGGCCAGGGGAGCAAACCGGAUUAGAUACCCGGGUAGUCCUGGCUGUAAACGAUGCGGACUUUGUGUCGGACAAGCUAUGAGCUUGUCCGGUGCCGGAGGGAAACCGUUAAGUCCGCCGCCUGGGGAGUACGGCCGCAAGGCUGAAACUUAAAGGAAUUGGCGGG
rnacentral:rRNA from 1 species